GAUGAACGCUGGCGGCGUGCCUAAUACAUGCAAGUCGAGCGAACGGACGAGAAGCUUGCUUCUCUGAUGUUAGCGGCGGACGGGUGAGUAACACGUGGAUAACCUACCUAUAAGACUGGGAUAACUUCGGGACACCGGAGCUAAUACCGGAUAAUAUUUUGAACCGCAUGGUUCAAAAGUGAAAGACGGUCUUGCUGUCACUUAUAGAUGGAUCUGCGCUGCAUUAGCUAGUUGGUAAGGUAACGGCUUACCAAGGGAACGAUGCAUAGCCGACCUGAGAGAGUGAUCGGCCACACGGGAACGGAGACACGGUCCAGAGUCCUACGGGAGGCAGCAGUAGGGAAUCUGCCGCAAUGGGCGAAAGCCUGACGGAGCAACGCCGCGUGAGUGAUGAAGGUCUUCGGAUCGUAAAACUCUGUUAUUAGGGAAGAACAUAUGUGUAAGUAACUGUGCACAUCUUGACGGUACCUAAUCAGAAAGCCACGGCUAACUACGUG
rnacentral:rRNA from 1 species